rnacentral:rRNA from 1 species
AUUGAACGCUGGCGGCAGGCUUAACACAUGCAAGUCGAGCGAGCGGCGGACGGGUGAGUAAUGUCUGGUAAACUGCCUGAUGGAGGGGGAUCAAUACUGGAAACGGUAGCUAAUACCGCAUACCAUCAGAUUUGCCCAGAUGGGAUGAGCUAGUGGGUGGGGUAAUGGCUCACCUAGGCGACGAUACCUAGCUGGUCUGAGAGGAUGACCACCCAAAUGGGAACUGGGACACGGUCCAGACUCCUACGGGAGGAAGCAGGGGGGAAUAUUGGAAAAUGAGCGCAAGCCUGAUGCAGCACUGCCGCGUGUGUAAAGAGGGCCUUCGGUUUGUAAAGCCCUUUCAGCGGGGAGGCGGUACUCGCAGAGGAAGCAACGGCUAACUCCGUGCCAGCAGCCGCGGUAAUAC